GGGGCGGACGUAGCCAAGUGGCUCAAGGCAGUGGAUUG
rnacentral:tRNA from 1 species